GCCUUCGUGGUGUAACGGUAGCACACUCGGCGCGGAUUCGAGAGGUCCAGGUUCGAAUCCCAGCGAGGGCA
rnacentral:tRNA from 1 species